rnacentral:rRNA from 1 species
AGGAAGUAAAAGUCGUAACAAGGGUCUCCGUUGGUGAACCAGCGGAGGGAUCAUUUACCGAGUUUACAACUCCCAAACCCCUGUGAACAUACCUAUACGUUGCCUCGGCGGAUCAGCCCGCGCCCUGUAAAAAGGGACGGCCCGCCCGAGGACCCUAAACUCUGUUUUUAGUGGAACUUCUGAGUAAAACAAACAAAUAAAUCAAAACUUUCAACAACGGAUCUCUUGGUUCUGGCAUCGAUGAAGAACGCAGCAAAAUGCGAUAAGUAAUGUGAAUUGCAGAAUUCAGUGAAUCAUCGAAUCUUUGAACGCACAUUGCGCCCGCCAGUAUUCUGGCGGGCAUGCCUGUUCGAGCGUCAUUUCAACCCUCAAGCUCAGCUUGGUGUUGGGACUCGCGGUAACCCGCGUUCCCCAAAUCGAUUGGCGGUCACGUCGAGCUUCCAUAGCGUAGUAAUCAUACACCUCGUUACUGGUAAUCGUCGCGGCCACGCCGUAAAACCCCAACUUCUGAAUGUUGACCUCGGAUCAGGGUAGGAAUACCCGCUGAACU